rnacentral:rRNA from 1 species
GACGAACGCUGGCGGCGUGCUUAACACAUGCAAGUCGAACGGAAAGGCCUCUUUCGGGGGGUACUCGAGUGGCGAACGGGUGAGUAACACGUGAGUAACCUGCCCUUGACUUUGGGAUAACUUCAGGAAACUGGGGCUAAUACCGGAUAGGAGCUCCUGCUGCAUGGUGGGGGUUGGAAAGUUUCGGCGGUUGGGGAUGGACUCGCGGCUUAUCAGCUUGUUGGUGGGGUAGUGGCUUACCAAGGCUUUGACGGGUAGCCGGCCUGGGAGGGUGACCGGCCACAAUGGGACUGGGAUACGGCCCAGACUCCUACGGGGGGCAGCAGUGGGGAAUAUUGCACAAUGGGUGGAAGCCUGAUGCAGCAACGCCGUGUGCGGGAUGACGGCCUUCGGGUUGUAAACCGCUUUCGCUCAUGACGAAGCUUUGUGUGACGGUAGUGGGUAAAGAAGCACCGGCUAACUACGUG